rnacentral:rRNA from 1 species
AUUGAACGCUGGCGGCAUGCUUUACACAUGCAAGUCGAACGGCAGCGCGGGCUUCGGCUUGGCGGCGAGUGGCGAACGGGUGAGUAAUUCAUCGGAACGUGCCCCGCAGUGGGGGAUAGCUCGGCGAAAGCCGGGUUAAUACCACAUACGACCUGAUGGUGAAAGCGGGGGGUGUUCGGACCGCUCGCGCUUGUAGCGGCCGAGGGCCGGCUAGCUAGUUGGUGGGGUAAAGGCCUACCUAGGCGACGAUCUGUAGCUGGUCUGAGAGGACGACCAGCCACAGUGGGGCUGAGACGCGGCCCAGACACCGACGGGAGGCAGCAGUGGGGAAUUUUGGACACAGGGCGAAAGCCUGAUCCAGGAAUGCAGGCUGUGUGAUGAAGGCCUUCGGGUUGUAAAGCACUUUUGGCGGGAACGAAAAGGACUGUGCCAAUACCACGGUUCGAUGACGGUACCCGCAGAAUAAGCACCGGCUAACUACGU